UCUCAUUCCCCAUAAAAAAUCCCCUCUAGGCGACUGCUGUGAAAACCACAAAAAUAUCACACGAGAAAUGUUGACGAGAUUUUUUCAAACAGUGUAGGAAUGGAUGAAUCAGAUGAAAAUAAUAGAGUCAGAUGGAAUAAUAACGAAGUCGAUAAAUGUUCUCGAAUCGUGUAUCCAAGAAGUUGCUUUAAAUGGUAGAGAAGGGGGAAGUCUUAAGGCGGAAUCUUGGACCAAGGUUAUGAAAGCUCUCAAGAAUAAUUAUAAUUUUGUGGUUUCUCAAAGACAAAUGAAGAAUAGAUACGAUUACUUAAAACAAAAGUAUCAAGCUUGGUUGCCUUUAACUAUGAAAACAAGCAAUGUUUACAAUCAUGCGACCAACACCAUCAACAUGACAAAGGAUGAGUGGAGUUGAUGGAACACUCGUACACGCCAUUGUCCCAAAUUCAAAACAAACUAUGUACAGGGGUAGAGGAAAGGGAGAAUGCUAUCAAAAUGUUUUAGGAAUAUGUGACUUUAAUAUGAUUUUUACGUUCGUUUGGGCAGGCUGGGAAUGGAUAACACAUGAUUCAAAAGUUUUAACAGAAACAGUUGCUGAUCCGAGAAACGGUUUUCCAUGGCCUCCCGCUGGUAUUACUUUAAAUUCAAUCUAAAUUCCAAUUAUUUAUACUUUAAAUCUAAUGUUACUUUAUUUAUGUAAUGAUAACAGGUAAAUACUAUCUUUGUGAUGCUGCAUACACACAUACAAGAGGAUUUAUGGCUCCAUAUCGUGGUGUACGAUAUUGGUUAGGAGACUAUCGUCGUAUGCGUGCUUUGACCAAAGAAGAAAAAUUUAACCAUGCUCAUGCUCAACUAAGGAACGUCAUUGAACGAACAUAUGGAGUUCUGAAAAAUAGAUUUCCAAUUUUAGAAACGAUGGCCCCUUUUUCAUUUGACGUGUAGAGAAAUAUAGUGAUUGCUUGUUUUGCGGUGCAUAAUUUUAUAAGAAAAGAGCGUAUUAGUGAUAGAUUUUUUUAGGAGCUUGAUCAACCCAAUGUGCCUUUUGAUGGUGCGAAUGAGGAUGAACAAGAUCAUGAGAAUGAUGGUACAACAACCGGACCAUGGUGGGGGGAGGAAGACAUGCAGUAUAUGGCAAAUGUCCGUGAUGAGAUAGCAACUCGGUUGAUGCAUUGAGCGACCAAUUAUAAUUUUAUUAAAUAUUUGACGUUAAUUUUAGUGACUUUAAUCUUUUAAGUUAAUUUUAGCUACUCUAAUGUAUUUUUAUAUUUUUGCUACUUUUAUUUGCGAAUUUUAUAUUUAUUAGUUGUUUGAAAUUUACAUUUUAUCUAUGUUAAAUAUUUUAAAUUUAUUCUAUAGCAAAAUGUUUAAUGUCCGACAAAAUUUUAUAUGAAAUUUAAUUAACAAAGUAAAAUGUUGCAUUAAAUAAGGGUAUAACAGGAAAAUAACAAUAUUCAGACAUUACUGGUAUUUUGUUAUCAAAUGGACUUAAUAGUUCAGCAUUCAGCAUUCAGUCACAACUCUUAAUCAUUCAGAAAUAGAUUCAGCAUUCAGCAUUCAACGCUUAAUCCUGUCAAACGGG